rnacentral:rRNA from 1 species
CAGCCGCCGCGGUAAUACGAAGGGACCUAGCGUAGUUCGGAAUUACUGGGCGUAAAGCGCGCGUAGGCCGUUGAGUUAGUUAAUUGUGAAAUCCCAAAGCUUAACUUUGGAACUGCAAUUAAAACUGCUCGACUAGAGUUUGAUAGAGGAAAGCGGAAUACAUAGUGUAGAUGUGAAAUUCGUAGAUAUUAUGUAGAACACCAGCUGCGAAGGCGGCUUUCUGGAUCAACACUGACGCUGAGGCGCGAAAGUAUGGGUAGCAAAGAGGAUUAGAUACCCUCGUAGUCCAUACCAUAAACGAUGAUUGCUAGAUGUUGGAAAUUUAUUUUCAGUAUCGCAGCUAACGCAUUAAGCAAUCCGCCUGGGGAGUACGACCGCAAGGUUAAAACUCAAAUGAAUUGACGG